rnacentral:rRNA from 1 species
GGGAAUCUACCCUGAACUGCGGAAUAGCUCCGGGAAACUGGAAUUAAUACCGCAUGUGCCCUGAGGGGCAAAGAUUUAUCGGUUCAGGAUGAGCCCGCGUCGGAUUAGCUAGUUGGUGGGGUAAUGGCCUACCAAGGCGACGAUCCGUAGCUGGUCUAAGAGGAUGAUCAGCCACAUUGGGACUGAGACACGGCCCAAACUCCUACGGGAGGCAGCAGUGGGGAAUAUUGGACAAUGGGCGCAAGCCUGAUCCAGCCAUGCCGCGUGAGUGAUGAAGGCCCUAGGGUUGUAAAGCUCUUUCAGUGGGGACGAUAAUGACGGUACCCACAGAAGAAGCCCCGGCUAACUUCGUGCCAGCAGCCGCGGUAAUACGAAGGGGGCUAGCGUUGUUCGGAAUUACUGGGCGUAAAGCGCACGUAGGCGGAUAUUUAAGUCAGGGGUGAAAUCCCGGGGCUCAACCCCGGAACUGCCUUUGAUACUGGAUGUCUUGAGUCCGGAAGAGGUGAGUGGAAUUGCGAGU